CUGUGGGCAUGCAAACCCAGGGCCUCCCACAAAGGAGUAUCAGAGACAAAUACAGUAUCAAGAGAUCAAGAGAGAAUUACUCUCAGGAAUGAUUCAUUCAUGAUGUUUAUGAAAAGACCAAAAA
rnacentral:Y_RNA from 1 species